rnacentral:rRNA from 1 species
AUGAACGCUAGCUACAGGCUUAACACAUGCAAGUCGAGGGGCAGCGGGAUUGAAGCUUGCUUCAAUUGCCGGCGACCGGCGCACGGGUGAGUAACGCGUAUCCAACCUUCCGUACACUCAGGGAUAGCCUUUUCGAAAGAAAGAUUAAUACCUGAUGGUAUGAUGAGAUUGCAUGAUAGCAUCAUUAAAGAUUUAUCGGUGAUGGAUGGGGAUGCGUCUGAUUAGCUUGUUGGCGGGGUAACGGCCCACCAAGGCGACGAUCAGUAGGGGUUCUGAGAGGAAGGUCCCCCACAUUGGAACUGAGACACGGUCCAAACUCCUACGGGAGGCAGCAGUGAGGAAUAUUGGUCAAUGGACGAGAGUCUGAACCAGCCAAGUAGCGUGCAGGAUGACGGCCCUAUGGGUUGUAAACUGCUUUUAUAAGGGAAUAAAGUGGGAGUCGUGACUCUUUUUGCAUGUACCUUAUGAAUAAGGACCGGCUAAUUCCGUG